rnacentral:rRNA from 1 species
AUGGCGUCAGGAUGAACGCUGGCGGCGUGCUUAACACAUGCAAGUCGAACGAAGCACUCUAUUUGAUUCCUUCGGGAUUGAUUAUUUGUGACUGAGUGGCGGACGGGUGAGUAACGCGUGGGUAACCUACCUUGUACAGGGGGAUAACAGUUGGAAACGACUGCUAAUACCGCAUAAGCGCACGGCAUCGCAUGAUGCAGUGUGAAAAGCUCCGACGGUAUAAGAUGGACCCGCGUCUGAUUAGCUAGUUGGUGAGGUAACGGCCCACCAAGGCGACGAUCAGUAGCCGACCUGAGAGGGUGACCGGCCACAUUGGGACUGAGACACGGCCCAAACUCCUACGGGAGGCAGCAGUGGGGAAUAUUGGACAAUGGGGGAAACCCUGAUCCAAGCGACGCCGCGUGAACGAUGAAGUAUUUCGGUAUGUAAAGUUCUAUCAGCAGGGAAGAUAAUGACGGUACCUGACUAAGAAGCACCGGCUAAAUACGUGCCAGCCGCCGC